rnacentral:rRNA from 1 species
AUUGAACGCUGGCGGCAUGCUUUACACAUGCAAGUCGAACGGUAACAGGGUGCUUGCACCGCUGACGAGUGGCGAACGGGUGAGUAAUGCGUCGGAACGUGCCGAGUAGUGGGGGAUAACGCAGCGAAAGUUGUGCUAAUACCGCAUACGUACUGAGGUAGAAAGUGGGGGACCUUCGGGCCUCACGCUAUUCGAGCGGCCGACGUCUGAUUAGCUAGUAGGUGAGGUAAAGGCUCACCUAGGCGACGAUCAGUAGCGGGUCUGAGAGGAUGGACCGCCACACUGGAACUCAGACGCGGCCCAGACUCCGACGGGAGGCAUCAGUGGGGAAUUUUGGACAAUGGGCGAAAGCCUGAUCCAGCCAUGCCGCGUGUCUGAAAGAUGCCUUCGGGUUGUAAAGGACUUUUGUCAGGGAGGAAAUCCCUAGUGCUAAUAACACUGGGGGAUGACAGUACCUGAAGAAUAAGCACCGACUAACUACGUGCCAGCAGCCGCCGUAA